rnacentral:lncRNA from 1 species
AUUAAAACCCAUGCCACUGUCGAAAUAAAAUUGAUCAUAGUUGUAAUAGCCCAAUUUGCCCGGGGCCCAUUCAGAAUAAGCAGAAAAAAACAAGAAAAAAUAAUUAAAUAUCCACAGUCCAAAUACAUAGGCCCAACAUGGCCCAAAUCGUUUUUAACCUAAACACUAGCCUAGCCCGAUAUCCCUAACCCAAUUAACCUAACACCUAACCCUGGCCCUAAUCAUCUAAGCCCAAAACAAAAUCACAAACAGAAACCUUAGGGCUUCUGGAAACUAAGCCGCCGCAGCAGCCUCACAACGCGCCGCCUUUGGCCUUCCUCUCUACGCGCGCCACGCCACCACCUCCGUACUCUAGUACCUACAGCAAACAACAAGCCAAGGCAGCAAAAAAGGAAGAAGACAAAAUAGCGAAAAAGAAUGAGAUUUUUGUAUUUUUCUCCUUUUAUUAUUCUGUAUUUUUGUUAUAAAACAGAUUGUAAACCGAACGAAAAGAAGGACCCCCACUCUACUAUAUCACAAAAAAAAAAUUAAAUCAAUACAAAAGAAAAGGUUUUCUUUUUCCUUUUUUUCGAUUCGGUUCUAUUUUCUUUCACGAUUGCCUUUCUUUCUUUUUCUGUUUUGCUCUUAACCAUAUACAUAGAAGCAUAUAUAUAGAAUAACAAAGAAAAAAAAGGGUGUUAGAACUCGUACCUGAUUAAGUCCGCCGUCGAAUCCCUCAUUGAUUCUGAUUGGAACCAGGCGGUUGGGGGCUCCGAUGCUGAAGCGGCGUUGGGGGGGUAGAUAUUAUUAGUUUUU